UGGUGGAGUGAUUUGUCUGGUUAAUUCCGUUAACGAACGAGACCUCAGCCUGCUAAAUAGACUGACGAACACUCUGGUGUUCGUAUCAGUGCUUCUUAGAGGGACUGUCUGUAUCUAGCAGAAGGAAGUUUGAGGCAAUAACA
rnacentral:rRNA from 1 species